rnacentral:rRNA from 1 species
ACGCACGCUGGCGGCGUGCUUAACCCCUGCAAGUCGCACGGAAAGGCCCUGCUUGCCGGGUACUCGAGUGGCGAACGGGUGAGUAACACGUGGGUGAUCUGCCCUGCACUUCGGGAUAAGCCUGGGAAACUGGGUCUAAUACCGGAUAGGAGCCAUUUUUAGUGUGAUGGUUGGAAAGUUUUUUCGGUGUAGGAUGAGCUCGCGGCCUAUCAGCUUGUUGGUGGGGUAAUGGCCUACCAAGGCGGCGACGGGUAGCCGGCCUGAGAGGGUGGACGGCCACAUUGGGACUGAGAUACGGCCCAGACUCCUACGGGAGGCAGCAGUGGGGAAUAUUGCACAAUGGGCGCAAGCCUGAUGCAGCGACGCCGCGUGGGGGAUGACGGCCUUCGGGUUGUAAACUCCUUUCGCUAGGGACGAAGCUUUUUGUGACGGUACCUAGAUAAGAAGCACCGGCUAACUACGUG